rnacentral:lncRNA from 1 species
UUCAAUACUAGUUGGUACUUGGGAGUUGGUCAACCAGAUAUUAAGAUCAUAAUCCCUUUUUCCAUAUUUGAUAUUGUCGGUUUGGCAUCGUGACAUGCAGACAGGUGUGGUCAUUGAAACAGCUGGAUUAUUUUCUUUAGCUUGAAAUCCACGAGUGUUUGUUGCUUUGCAAUUAGUGCAUGGUAACUUCCAAUUGAAUGAGCUGUUGAAGUACAUAGACAGAUAAAGAGUGGGGAAAGGGAUGCGAAGAUAGGUGUCGUUCAAUUUGGAUACUACUGGAUUCUAAUUUAUAUGAUGCGUGGAGUGCAUGCGAACCAAUAAUACUAAACAGGUAGAAACCCUAUCAAAAGUAUUUCAAAACCAAUACUGCACUAGUGCUCCACAAGACUAGUUGUUUCUGUAGUGUGGCAACAGUGUAGUGGUUUUCUUCUUUGUGGAAUUUGUGGUGGCUUAAGUGGUUCUGGUCAUCACACUUUUCCAUCAAUUAUAACUAUAUAUAUAUAUGUGUGUGUGUGUGUGUUAAGAGAUCCCUUGUUUUAUUAUUAAAUUAGGGUUCCAGAAUGGGUUUAAUAUAUACAAGAAG